rnacentral:rRNA from 1 species
UACGUAGGGGGCGAGCGUUGUCCGGAUUUACUGGGCGUAAAGAGCGCGUAGGCGGAGAUCUAAGCGUGGCCUGAAAGCCCCCGGCUCAACCGGGGAGUGCGGCUGCGAACUGGGUUUCUUGAGGACGAUAGAGGAGAGUGGAAUUCCUGGUGUAGCGGUGAAAUGCGUAGAUAUCAGGAGGAACACCCGAGGCGAAGGCGGCUCUCUGGGUCGUACCUGACGCUGAGGCGCGAAAGCGUGGGGAGCGAACGGG